CGGCGAUAUAUUUUUCUCUUCGGUUUUUGUUUAUUUUCUUAUGUUGGAUCUUAGAAUUAGGGUUCUUCGUCUUUGUUUUCUCAUAUGCUUAGAGAAUGUUUAAGGCUCGCAGUUUGAUUCAUAGUUUAAAAGUUGUUUUCAAAUAGAGAAGAGAAAUUAGAGAGAUGGAAGGGCCUUUCUUAAUCCCAGCUAAGUUUGAUGAAGUACUUAUCUGAUUCAUGUGAGGCCUAAACUAAAGCUGCGAGUUUCGCUGAUAAUACCUUCUUCUCUUUUAUCCCAGAAGGUGUUUUAUUAGUAACUCUGCUUACAUAUAUAUUCCCUAAUCAAUUCUCUAAUUUACUUGGGUUUUAUGACACUAUUUUGUACUCUGUAUAAACUGUGAUUGUUUUGGUUUA